AUAAUUGCUUGCUGUUAAGAGUCAGCUAAGGAUGCCUGUUGAAAAUAGACUCCACGCCCCCUUCCCUUCGAAGGCUGAUUCUGCAGGGUCUUGUUUUAUCACCUAGGCUGGAAUGCAGUGGAACCUGCUUAGCUCACUGUAGCCUUGAACUGCUGGGCUCAAGCAGUCCUCCUGUUUUGGCCUCUGAAGCAACUGGGACUACAGGUAUUGGCCUGGAGUGAUUCCAAGCUCUCCUGGAACAGGAGGUGCCCCCACUCUGGGCAUAAAUAUCUCUCCCUCAUCCCUCGCAGACAACGAUCUUUGAGUACCAUCCAGUCAUAAUAUAGACAUGGCCAAGGUAACGGAGGUAAACAGAAAACAGGAAAAAUACUAGGCUGUUUGCACUGGAACAUGGUAACCAUGAAAUGAGCAAACAUUUAAUUUUGUUCAUUGAGGUCAACGUGAAAGCUGCUGAAUCUCUUAUAACAACUUUCAGGACACUUGGUGCAUGCCAUUUUGAAACACCUCAAGCUGAGCCUGUUGUUCUGAAAUGUCAGAAUGUUCCAUUCUGGUAAACAUUCAACUUGUAUUGAGUUUUCCCUUUGUGCAGAACCCUGUGAAGUGCAGCUAAAAUGUAUAAGGGGAAUGAAAGAGGAUAAAAUGAAAACUGUGGAAGCCGUGAGUCAGUAGGCAGUGAAAACUAUCCGAGAAGGCUUUCUGCUUUUGGUUGAUUACAGACUGAAUCUAUGACCCAGGGAAAGAAGCCCACCCAUUCUUUGUACGUGUGCCUUAUUUCUGUGGUUCCCUUUUCAAUAUAAGGGGCUGCUGAGACAGUAAUUUUUACAUGUGGAGUAAGGUAAUCUCAGAACAUUCCUGUGUGAGUUUGAGGCAGCUUUGAAUCCUGGUUCCACUGCUAUUACCUCUGCAGCUUUGGGCAGGUUACUUAAUCUCUGUGAUCCUGAGUUUCACAUCUGUAAAUUGGGGGUAAUAAAAGUAUCUAUUUAGGGGUUUAUUGUAAGGACUACAAAGGAAUUAUGAAUCUAAAUUGCUUAGUGCAGCCUGGUCCAAAAAUGUUCAAUGAAUGUUAAGCUAUUAUUAUGGAAAAUUAAGUCGACUCUGGAAAAAUCAAUGAUUUAGGAUUCUUUAGUUUGCUAGUUUUGAAAAUGGCUCAAUCUAGCACAAGCAAGACGGUAUGAGCAUUCUAACACAUAAUAAAUGGAAAGCUGAG
rnacentral:lncRNA from 10 species